rnacentral:rRNA from 1 species
CUUCUCUGAUGUUAGCGGCGGACGGGUGAGUAACACGUGGGUAACCUACCUAUAAGACUGGGAUAACUCCGGGAAACCGGGGCUAAUACCGGAUAAUAUUUUGAACCGAAUGGUUCGAUAGUGAAAGACGGUUUCGGCUGUCACUUAUAGAUGGACCCGCGCCGUAUUAGCUAGUUGGUAAGGUAACGGCUUACCAAGGCGACGAUACGUAGCCGACCUGAGAGGGUGAUCGGCCACACUGGAACUGAGACACGGUCCAGACUCCUACGGGAGGCAGCAGUA